GAGUCGCGUGCUUAGGGUUUUAGUGGCAUUCAAAAAUUGUUCCAAAUCCAUAAAAUAAUCGAAGCCGCAAUUUUGGAACUCCCAAUUCGACUUCAGGUAGAGCAAUUUCUCGGAUGACAAUGGCGGAUGGUGGUCCCAUCUCCCCGCCAUGUCCGUCUGCUGAUGCAACCACCGUCAACAAAAUCAAUUUUUCAUGGGAAGGUUCCUCACUCUUUCCUUGACUUCGUUUUUAACCGGCCUCACGGCGACGACUCCAUGAAAAUCCACUGGAAAAUGUUUGCGGGCAUGUCCCCUUGCUUUCUUUGUCUAUAUAUAUUGUGUAACGAUCAUUCGAUUCACCCCCACCAAACAUUCCUGCCCCUUUUCUCUCCCAGCCAUACUCGUUGGUUUCGAUUCCCGAUUCGGUUCCAUAGCCAUGGAGUUUGGAGAGCUGAAGAGGAAUUUUGAGGCUUUGAAGGAUCUUGUUGAAAAGCAGGAGAGCAGAGUGCAGUACCAUGAGAGCAGAGCCCAGAACAUAACUAUGGCCUACCUUAUCUGGGGGCGGUUGUUCUUCUUUGCUAUCUCUCAGACUUCUUCGUCCCUCCUCAAGUGUAUUGAUUGGUGGAUGGUUUUGGGUUUGAGUGUUUCGUGUGCCUUCGUCUACUUUCUGUUUUUCCUGGAGGCUGUCACCAUGUUAUAUCGGGUUCAGCACCAGAUGGACAUAAUUUGCAAGGAACAGGCAGAAAUUUGCCAGCAGAUUUUGGUGGCCAGAAGCCAAUUAGAUGAUGUGGAUCUGGCAAUGGAGGCUGGAGAUUCAAGUGAUGGGUUCCAGUUCAGUUUCCACGUGAAGUUACUUGAGUAUGGUGCAUUUAGAAUUGUGGAGAGGAAAUUUUACAUAUGCGCCACUGUCUCUGCUCUGCUUGCUGUUACUGCUAUUGAACUAUACGCCUGUAAGUUCUUGUUAUGCAACUGAACCGGACAUCGUUUUGGCGCCCUAUUGGUAAACAAUUUGUUACAACUGCUGUGUCUAUAAAAUCUCCCUAUAAGGAUUCGUGUAGAAAUGAAAGGAUUAGAGGUUCUUGGCUUUAUUGUGAUAUGUUUGGCUAGGGACGAAUAUGGAAGUUUUUACAGGUGCAGGAAGAGAAAAGAUUUGAAGUUUGGCACGUCUGGAAGCUCUUUGUGGGCUAUAUUGGUUAAUUCUUUUAAUAGUGUUCCUUUGUUUCUAUUCUCAACAAUUGAAGUUCCUUUGGUUAUUUAGGCUUGUGUUUUUGUAUGGCCUAGUUGGUUUCUUGUUAUUCUUUCAUUUCAUUUUAUGAUAGUGGUUUCUUAAAAAAUAAAAUAAAGCAAUGAAAAAUCUUAUCAGCGAAGAAAUUCCAAGGGGCAGGAGAAAUAUAGGAGAUAGGGAAUCAAAACAGAAACAAUAGAGAGAAAAGGGAUGACAGAGAAAUGAAAAGAUGACCAAGAAAUCAUUCGCAUUCUCAUUGAAUAUCAAAGCAUCAGCCAGAAAAUAGUAAGAGAAUAUUCUGUUACAAUUAUUACCAAAAUAAUGAGAAGUCAGAAAAAAAUAAGAAUUUAGAAUGUAUCAUACUAUAAUUUAGUUGGUUGUAGCUUUGCUUUGUACUUGUACAAUUCUUCUGUUUUGUUUGUUUGUUUUUUUUCCCCCAUUAAAAGAGAGAAAAACACCUUUUAGCUGUAAGAUAUAUGUGGUGUAUGCUGAUUGUAGACAUUCAAGGUAUACGUGGAAAAUUUGCAUUAGAAGGACAAUUACAUCUAUUCUUCUAUUAUUCUGGGUAGAAUUCUGAAAAUCUUGCCUUUGUUGAUAGAAUGGAAACCUAAGAUUCUGUUUGUGUUCAUUAAACUACUAUAUAAUACUACGCAUCAUCUCUAGUAGGGUUGCUGAUGUAUUCUUUUCGCUCAAUCUUGAAUUAACAUAACUACAUGUUAAUGUGUUAUUUUCUUUGAGUCUUGAAUUUAUAAUGGUUCUCAAUUUUGUAAACACCAAGAAAGUUGUCGCUGGAGACUUGAUUGGUUAUUUCUUUUUGUGUUGCUAGUGCUAAUUUAGAGUGGUUGAUAUACAUGAAUAACUAGUGGCCUAUUAGUUGAGAUAGUUUCAAUUGGGUUUAUGAAACUUUCAAUUUCUUUUAUGGGGCUAUAUGGAAAGAUCAUUAUAAAAAGAGUGUUUUUUUCUUUGGUAGUUCAGCCAGGAAGCCAUAAAUAUAUUUGACAAGCCUCAACAUAACGUAGAAUGCGGUACAUGUGUAUCUCCCUCCACUAAUCCACAAUUUGCAAAAGAAGUUCCAAUUCUCAACAACACAUUUUUAGCACCGGUGAAUUAGCUGUCUCAUUUUGGGGUUCCAUCCUCUUUAUCUUUUGCUGGUUCACAAUUCUCCCUAAUGGUAUUCAAGAGGAACCGAAAACCGAUACGACUGACCGAAACCGACUGAACCGAAGUUGGUUGGUGUACAUAAAUUCUCCCCUUUUCCAUCAUUAUAGGUUUUUCUCUUUAUCAUCCAUUGGAGAAGUUUUUUGUAACUUGUUUGGAUGGUAUCUCUUCUCCUUUUUGUAACUCGCUGAUUUAUUCUUUCUUGCUCAUUUUAACUUUGCUGAUAACUUUUUUGGGCAUAUUAUAUGUGUUAGAACAUGAGGCUCACUUUGUUGUUUAUUCAUUGCACUCAAUCCCAAGGCUGUAUUUGCUAUGUUUAGGAAUAGAUAAUGCAUUUGUUGUUGGAGGAUGCUUGUAAAUAUGCUUGGGUUGAAUUAGUCCUUUUACUGUUGGCUUGGUGAGAUCACCAUCACUCGUCAUCUUCAACCAAUGUUUUAAAAGGCUAAAGGCGGCCUCGAGGCUUUUUCUCUUGAAAAGGCGAGGCGUAAGCCUCAAGGCGGUAUGAGGCGUAAGCCUCAAUUUUAAUUAAAAGAAUUAAACAAAUCCUAAAUUUGUGUGGUCAAGUAUUACCAAACAUAAUAGUUAUAUAAAAUUAUCAAAAUAUCCACUUGUUACUUGUCACUCAAAAAAAAUUCUAAAAAAACAUCAUAACAUCACUACUAUUA